rnacentral:rRNA from 1 species
AGCUAGCCUUCACAUCAAUUCAACUAGACCUUAUAAAUCUAAUAUAUACUACAACUUUUAAUCAAAACAUUCUCAACCUUUUAGUAUGGGUGACAGAACAAUAACCCCAGCGCAAUAGCUUAUGUACCGCAAGGGAAAGCUGAAAAAGAAAUGAAACAAAUCAUUAAAGUACUAAAAAGCAGAGAUUAUACCUCGUACCUUUUGCAUCAUGAUUUAGCUAGAAAAACUAGGCAAAAAGACCUUAAGUCUAUCUUCCCGAAACUAAACGAGCUACUCCGAAGCAGCAUCAUAGAGCUAACCCGUCUCUGUGGCAAAAGAGUGGGAAGACUUCCGAGUAGCGGUGAAAAGCCUAUCGAGUUUAGUGAUAGCUGGUUACCCAAAAAAAGAACUUUAGUUCUGCAUUAAUUUUUCACUAUCUAAACAAGACUUACUCGUCAAAGAAAUCUAUAAGAAUUAAUAGUUAUUUAGAAGAGGUACAACCCUUCUAAACAAAGACACAACUUUUUAAGGUGGGAAAUGAUCAUAAUCAUUAAGGUUACUAUCUCAGUGGGCCUAAAAGCAGCCACCUGUUAAGUAAGCGUCACAGCUCUAAUCUAAUAAUUAAACCUUUAAUUCAGAUAUUUAUUCACAACCCCCUUUAUCCUAUUGGGUUAUUUUAUAUUUUUAUAAAAGAACUUAUGCUAAAAUGAGUAAUAAAGAGAACAAAUCUCUCCCGACACAAGUGUAUGUCAGAAAGAAUUAAAUCACUGAUAAUUAAACGACCCCAAACUGAGGUUAUUAUAUCACUUAACUAUUAACUAGAAAAUCCUAUUUUCCUACUCGUUA